rnacentral:rRNA from 1 species
AUACAUGCAGUCGAGCGGACAGAUGGGAGCUUGCUCCCUGAUGUUAGCGGCGGACGGGUGAGUAACACGUGGGUAACCUGCCUGUAAGACUGGGAUAACUCCGGGAAACCGGGGCUAAUACCGGAUGGUUGUUUGAACCGCAUGGUUCAGACAUAAAAGGUGGCUUCGGCUACCACUUACAGAUGGACCCGCGGCGCAAUAGCUAGUUGGUGAGGUAACGGCUCACCAAGGCGACGAUGCGUAGCCGACCUGAGAGGGUGAUCGGCCACACUGGGACUGAGACACGGCCCAGACUCCUACGGGAGGCAGCAGUAGGGAAUCUUCCGCAAUGGACGAAAGUCUGACGGAGCAACGCCGCGUGAGUGAUGAAGGUUUUCGGAUCGUAAAGCUCUGUUGUUAGGGAAGAACAAGUGCCGUUCAAAUAGGGCGGCACCUUGACGGUACCUAACCAGAAAGCCACGGCUAACUACGUGCCAGCAGCCGCGGUAAUACGUAGGUGGCAAGCGUUGUCCGGAAUUAUUGGGCGUAAAGGGCUCGCAGGCGGUUUCUUAAGUCUGAUGUGAAAGCCCCCGGCUCAACCGGGGAGGGUCAUUGGAAACUGGGGAACUUGAGUGCAGAAGAGGAGAGUGGAAUUCCACGUGUAGCGGUGAAAUGCGUAGAGAUGUGGAGGAACACCAGUGGCGAAGGCGACUCUCUGGUCUGUAACUGACGCUGAGGAGCGAAAGCGUGGGGAGCGAACAGGAUUAGAUACCCUGGUAGUCCACGCCGUAAACGAUGAGUGCUAAGUGUUAGGGGGUUUCCGCCCCUUAGUGCUGCAGCUAACGCAUUAAGCACUCCGCCUGGGGAGUACGGUCGCAAGACUGAAACUCAAAGGAAUUGACGGGGGCCCGCACAAGCGGUGGAGCAUGUGGUUUAAUUCGAAGCAACGCGAAGAACCUUACCAGGUCUUGACAUCCUCUGACAAUCCUAGAGAUAGGACGUCCCCUUCGGGGGCAGAGUGACAGGUGGUGCAUGGUUGUCGUCAGCUCGUGUCGUGAGAUG